rnacentral:lncRNA from 1 species
AAAGAAUAUGUGAUGGUCACAUAUCUCUGUCAUUGCCAACUUGAUCAUUUUUGUGAGAUAAAGAUAAACAAGUAAUACAAAGAAGAAUUUUUUGUUUGUAUAAUUUUUGAAUCAUAUAGAACUUGUAAAUCUUAUCUUAUAGAUAAAAUGACCAAGAUCUCAUUUACUGAACAUAGGAAAAAGGCAUGCAUGGUAUUAGGCCUUGUAUAUAUGAAUGUUUGAGGACCAAUAAUAUCUCGACCUAGAGAUGGACACCACAUAUAAGAUAUGGUGUAUUCCUUAAUUUGCUUCACAAAUCUUAUUGUCUCAUUCUGGGGAUAUGCCCUAGAAAUUGCUGUAUGUGUUUUGAAUGAGAUACCAUCAAAAUCUAUUACUAGCACUCUAUAUAUGAUA